rnacentral:ncRNA from 20 species
AAACCGGUUGAUCCUGCCGGACCCGACCGCUAUCGGGGUGGGGCUUAGCCAUGCGAGUCAAGCGCCCCAGGGACCCGCUGGGGUGCGGCGCACGGCUCAGUAACACGUGGCCAACCUACCCUCGGGAGGGGGAUAACCCCGGGAAACUGGGGCUAAUCCCCCAUAGGGGAAGGGUGCUGGAAGGCCCCCUCCCCGAAAAGAGCCACGUCCGGUACCCGGCGCGGCUCGCCCGAGGAUGGGGCUACGGCCCAUCAUGGUAGCUGGCGGGGUAACGGCCCGCCAGGCCGAAGACGGGUGGGGGCCGUGAGAGCGGGAGCCCCGAGAUGGGCACUGAGACAAGGGCCCAGGCCCUAUGGGGUGCAGCAGGCUCGAAUACUCCGCAAUGCGGUAACCCGCGACGGGGCCACCCCGAGUGCCGCCCGAUGAGGGCGGCUUUUCCCCCGUGUAAGUAGCUGGGGGAAUAAGCGGGGGGCAAGUCUGGUGUCAGCCGCCGCGGUAAUACCAGCUCCGCGAGUGGUCGGGGUGUUUACUGGGCCUAAAGCGCCCGUAGCCGGCCCGGUAAGUCACCCCUGAAAUCCAUGGGCUCAACCCAUGGGCCGGGGGUGAUACUGCCGGGCUUGGGGGUGGGAGAGGCCGAGGGUACUCCCGGGGUAGGGGCGAAAUCCGAUAAUCCCGGGAGGACCACCAGUGGCGGAAGCGCUCGGCUGGAACACGCCCGACGGUGAGGGGCGAAAGCUGGGGGAGCAAAGGGGAUUAGAUACCCCUGUAGUCCCAGCUGUAAACGAUGCGGGCUAGCUGUUGGGUGGGCUUAGUGCCCGCCCAGUGGCGUAGGGAAGCCGUUAAGCCCGCCGCCUGGGGAGUACGGCCGCAAACCUGGCACUGGGCCACAAGCCCAGGCCGGGGCGGAAGGCUGAAAGGCGGCGGGCCGUGCCGGAGUUCCCCGACGGGAACUAGAUAUCCAACAAAGUACAGUAAACUCAGAACCCUCCUUUUUUAGCACUCACAUCCUCAACUUUACCCUGGCACUUUACCCCGGCACGGCCGCCGCCCAGCAUACUUAAAGGAAUUGGCGGGGGGGCACCACAAGGGGUGAAGCUUGCGGCUUAAUUGGAGUCAACGCCGGAAACCUCACCCGGGGCGACAGCAGGAUGAAGGCCAGGCUAACGACCUUGCCGGACGAGCUGAGAGGAGGUGCAUGGCCGUCGCCAGCUCGUGCCGUGAGGUGUCCAGUUAAGUCUGGCAACGAGCGCGACCCCCGCUCCCUGUUGCUACCCUACCCUUCGGGGUGGGGGGCACACAGGGAGGACUGCCGGCGUAAGCCGGAGGAAGGAGGGGGCCACGGCAGGUCAGUAUGCCCCGAAACCCCGGGGCUGCACGCGAGCUGCAAUGGCGGGGACAGCGGGUUCCGACCCCGAAAGGGGGAGGCAAUCCCGUAAACCCCGCCCCAGUAGGAAUCGAGGGCUGUAACUCGCCCUCGUGAACGUGGAAUCCCUAGUAACCGCGUGUCACCAACGCGCGGUGAAUACGUCCCUGCCCCUUGCACACACCGCCCGUCGCGCCACCCGAGGGGAUCCUUAACGAGGCCCCCUGGGUAACUGGGGGGUCGAGUUGGGGGUCCCCAAGGGGGGCGAAGUCGUAACAAGGUGGCCGUAGGGGAACCUGCGGCCGGAUCACCUCCU